rnacentral:lncRNA from 1 species
UUUAUCCGGUGCUAUGGAAUUCGGCUUUGCUUGUCGUAGAUCUUCAUUGUCGCUUACGUACGAUUUCUGCGCUUUUUGUUCUCCGUAUUUUCAUAAAAAGAUUAGCAUAUUGUUAAUGCUGUUCAGCAGUAGCUUCUUCUACAUCCACCUGGUAAGCCAGAAUUGGUCAAUGCUAAUCACGGAGAUACAAUAAAAUAGAAAAGGAUAACUCAUUUCUCUUAGCAAAUCAAACAGGUCUUCCUCCCAUUUUAAAUUAUCCCAAACAUAUUAUAUUUCUAUUACAAUAAUGAAUCAACUGUUGGGACAAAUUUCAAUAUGAGAAAGACCCUGUGCGAUAAUUUCCAAUGGAUGAACUAUCCAUUGCAAUAUAUAAAUCAUCUGUUGCUGCAGAUAGGUCAUCUGUUAGUACAAAUAAAAGCUAUACGAAGAGCUAUUUGAUUUCCUAUAACAGACGAGACAUAUGUUGCACCAGCUAAAGUAUCUGGUGCAAUAGGUUAGUCAACUAUUGCAACAUAUGUAUAUAUCUGUUUGAUAAUUUUCAGCAGAUUAUCAUCUGUUGAAACAGAUGUGUCUGUUCGUUUUGUCAGUUGGAAGACAUAUAAUAUAUUCACCUUCUUCAGCUCGUGCUGCUCUCCUUUGGACAUUGUAUAUUGCUCAGUGCAAAACAUAGAUAGAGGAGUUGUAAUUCUGCUUUUUGGAUGCCUGAUAAUGCCAUAGAAAUCACUCUCCUUCUCCUCUUAGCUCUACUCUCUAAUGGAGCGGAUAGAAAUAAAAUCUUCUUUAAUGGAAUGAGACCCCUCUUAGAUGUCAAUUCCUUUAUAGAAGCAGUUAAUGCAUUAAUAGCAUUAAUCACUACAUCAUGUUUC